rnacentral:rRNA from 1 species
UACUAAGGGGGCUAGCGUUGCUCGGAAUCACUGGGCGUAAAGCGCACGUAGGCGGAUUGCUAAGUCAGGGGUGAAAUCCUGGAGCUCAACUCCAGAACUGCCUUUGAUACUGGCGACCUUGAGUCCGGGAGAGGUGAGUGGAACUGCGAGUGUAGAGGUGAAAUUCGUAGAUAUUCGCAAGAACACCAGUGGCGAAGGCGGCUCACUGGCCCGGUACUGACGCUGAGGUGCGAAAGCGUGGGGAGCAAACAGG